UACAGAGGUCUCAAGCGUUGUUCGGAUUCAUUGGGCGUAAAGGGUGUGUAGGUGGCGCCGUAAGUCGGGUGUGAAAUUUCGGAGCUUAACUCCGAAACUGCAUUCGAUACUGCGGUGCUUGAGGACGGGAGAGGAGACUGGAAUUUACGGUGUAGCAGUGAAAUGCGUAGAGAUCGUAAGGAAGACCAGUGGCGAAGGCGGGUCUCUGGACAGUUCCUGACACUGAGGCACGAAGGCCAGGGGAGCAAACGGG
rnacentral:rRNA from 1 species